AAAAUGUGAAAAGACGUGGACCUAUGAAGGAAGAUGCUCUACACCUCCGGAGAAAUAACACAUAAAUAGAACAGAGCUGACCAGUUCUGAGAUGGACCUUGGAUGAAGGGGAAUGAGAUGCUUAUGUCACAUCUUGGCAUAGAUUUUCACUUUUAGAUGUGAACUGAUAUCGACAUUGAAUCAUUGGAAAUAAAGGACACAUAUACAAAAUCCG